rnacentral:sRNA from 1 species
AUCUUCUACUGUUACUCUUCACACUGUCACUACACCUCACAAUCUGCAUCUGUACAAUCUUUUCAUUUGAUAAGAUAUUGUGUUUGACUGUGAUACUGAUAUUUGUCUAGUAUAGCUUCAACUUCUCAUUUCUCUUGCAUGUCUAUAAUUAUCAAUUCUGCUUGCAGGAUUUGUCUGUUGUGUGUGUGAUAUGAUUUGAGAAGGGAAAUAUGGAAUAUGAAAUGAAUUUCUUUAUAUUACAGUAUGAGUUUCAGUUUGUACAUCUGUGUAUCAUGAAUAUCAAUUAUUUGAAAGAGACUCAAAAAUUGAUGAUCUAGUUUGAGUGAGAAUCACAAGGU